rnacentral:lncRNA from 10 species
GAGUUGUAGCAAAGGUCUCGCUACGGCUGUUGAGAGAGAACCCCCAACCCUUCAUACCUGAUUACCGUCGAUACCUGAUCAAAUUCUUCAUUUUCUAUCAUUGGUAUCUGACCACCCUGGCCUGGCUUCAGCAAGAAUCCUAUUAGGCCUGCUUAAUCAGAACCCUCCCACCCGUGAUGUUCCCUAUCAUAGUUCCUGACUACAGUGUUUUUGCCACUUCAACUACUGUCUGGCCCUGUUUUUUAUUUGACAACAUUUCCAGCUAAGCAAUCAUGAUGCAUGAGAGUAAUGUUAAUGAUUCCAUCAAUAAAACAAAUGUGUGUACAUAAAUAUACACACAUCUACAGAGACACACAGAACUUGCUGCUCUAUCCAGAUAUUUUAAGAAACAUACUCCUAACCUCAAUGAGCUAGCCAGCUAGGAAUCCAAGGCCAGUUUUUGGAGAGCCUUGAAUGCCAUGGUAAAGAAUUUGGACUAUAUUCUGUCCAAAUUUUUUUGAUUGAAUAAGUACAUCAUAGCAAUAUUUGGAAAUGUAUCAUGGGGAGGAAUACAAAGGAUGGAUUCUACUAAUUAGAAAUUGGAUUCAGAGCAAUCUAUUAGAAGACUACUGCAGUGGUCUAAGAGGCAGAUAAUUAUGACCUGCACAUGGUCAGGACUAGUGGAAAUUAAAAAGAGGUGGCAGAAGAGGCAUUUGUGAUGGAGGAAUUUUAAAAUUUGGUGAAUGGGAAAGAAAA